rnacentral:rRNA from 1 species
UACGGGAGGCAGCAGUGGGGAAUAUUGCACAAUGGGCGCAAGCCUGAUGCAGCCAUGCCGCGUGUAUGAAAAAGGCCUUCGGGUUGUAAAGUACUUUCAGUCGUGAGGAAGGUGUUAAGGUUAAUAACCUUAGCAAUUGACGUUAGCGACAGAAGAAGCACCGGCUAACUCCGUGCCAGCAGCCGCGGUAAUACGGAGGGUGCGAGCGUUAAUCGGAAUUACUGGGCGUAAAGGGCACGCAGGCGGUUAAUUAAGUUGGAUGUGAAAUCCCCGGGCUUAACCUGGGAAUGGCAUUCAAGACUGGUUAGCUAGAGUCUUGUAGAGGGGGUAGAAUUCCAUGUGUAGCGGUGAAAUGCGUAGAGAUGUGGAGGAAUAACCGGUGGCGAAGGCGGCCCCUGGACAAAGACUGACGCUCAUGUGCGAAAGCUGGGGAGCAAACAGGGAUUAGAUACC